rnacentral:rRNA from 1 species
CAAAGGAAUUGACGGGACCCGCACAAGCGGUGGAUGAUGUGGAUUAAUUCGAUGCAACGCGAAAACCUUACCUACCCUUGACAUGUCCGGAAUCCCGAAGAGAUUUGGGAGUGCUCGCAAGAGAACCGGAACACAGGUGCUGCAUGGCUGUCGUCAGCUCGUGUCGUGAGAUGUUGGGUUAAGUCCCGCAACGAGCGCAACCCUUGUCAUUAGUUGCCAUCAUUUGGUUGGGCACUCUAAUGAGACUGCCGGUGACAAACCGGAGGAAGGUGGGGAUGACGUCAAGUCCUCAUGGCCCUUAUGGGUAGGGCUUCACACGUCAUACAAUGGUCGGUACAGAGGGUUGCCAACCCGCGAGGGGGAGCUAAUCCCACAAAGCCGAUCGUAGUCCGGAUCGCAGUCUGCAACUCGACUGCGUGAAGUCGGAAUCGCUAGUAAUCGUGGAUCGGCAUGUCACGGUGAAUACGUUCCCGGGUCUU